UUCAAAUCGACAUGUACUUGCGCUCUUUUAUGCGUGACGUGAUGACGACUAUCGAAGAAUGUUUUCCGACUCUCCGUGCACCGACACAAAUAACCGAGAAAUCCACAAAUUGGGGCGAGAGAAUGCAGCAACAUUUCCUCAAAUAUGUUUUGGGACUUCAUAGAGGGUUGUAGUAAUGAUGAUACCGAGCCGUCUUCAAGGUAUCAAGGAGAUAUUAUUUCUAUGGUUGCUGAUAUUGGUGUCACUGAGCCAAAUUCUCGGAUCCAGCCACCGAAUUUCUCGAAUUCUAAUGCGAUGGAAACUAAGAGUUUUCAAGAAUUUUCUUGGGGCUCAACAGACAUAGAGUGUCAUCCAAUUUUACAGGCCACAACUAGCACUGAGCUGAAAAGGGAGCUUCCAUGGGAACCUUGCAUAAUAGAGUCAAGUGGAAGCUAAAAAGAAAUCUCAGGACAUACCACUCUUUCAAAAAUGUCGAAGUGAAGUGUCUGACAAGGUUUGCUGAGAACCGAGGAGAAAGAAGCAUGAUCAAAGGCCUAAAAGAACACGUUCAGCUGAGAUGCAUAAUGUGUCUAGGCGCAGGGACCGGAUCAAGGGAGAAAGCUGAGAGCUCUACCGGAAUUGAUACCCAACUGUCACAUGUUCGCAGUGUCUAAUCUAUAUUGACAAUAUCUUCUUGAUUUUGCUGUUAACAGGAAGCUGGGAUGCUCAAGUUUCCUAUCUCAGCAUGGAUUUUAGUAUAAGCCAUAUUGCAAUUUUACAAAAACAUUACCUGCAAUUUGUUUUCUGAACUAUGAAUUAGUUAGCAAUGGUGUUUUUCACUAAUGAUUAUGUGAGGAUCGGCUAUGUAGCCAACUCCCUUAUAUUCUCUUCAUGGUACAGGCUUUUGUAAUUUCACGUGUAGUGGUUUGAGCUGUAUUUAUAUAUUUAUCAGGUCAAGGGAGCUUUGUGAGUCCAGAUAUUUGAAACUUAAAAUCUGUCACAAACUGAGCUCUGAUUUUGACAUGCAGCUAUCUAUUUGUUUGCUUUCUAGCUAAUUCAUCAUUCAUGUGGCUAUUCAGAAGCUGCUGAAGUAAGAGUUUACAUGGUUGAGCUAGUAGCUGUUAUAAAUGAGUUGUUCUGAAAUGCAUAUAAGAGUUUUUUUUUUUCAUUUGAGUGGUUGCCACUAAUUCAUCUUUAAAUGGUCGUAUUAGUACUGGAUGACAUGGUAUUAUGUUUCUUUUUGCUAAAGCAAUUUAUUUAAUUGUUAGUUAUUGCUGGUCUCUGUGAGGAUUUCUGACUGUUUUGAUGCUUCUCUCCAGAUUUUUUGUUUCUGUUUCUUGGCAAUGCCGUCUAAUUACAUCCAAUCAAUCAAAAUUUCCCAACUGUAUUUCAGCAGGACCGACCGUCAAUGCUAGAAGAUGCUGUUGAAUAUCUUAAAGCCUUGAAGCUUCAAGUUGAAGUGAUCACUUUAUCUGUAAUUGCAGUUCUUCAAGCCUUGCCUGCUAUUAACUUGUUUCUUUUUCUGUCCAUCAGAUGCUAUCCAUGAGUGGUGGAGCAACGUGCCAGGCCUCAUGUAUGCCACAGGCUGGAAUUCGAAGUGUAGCAAUUCCCCAAUUUUCUAUAUAGGCAUCCAUGAGGCCAAGUCCAGGAAUGGAAAUGUUUAGCAUGUCGCAUUCGUUGGGUCUUCCAAUGAUAUCACUUCCCUCAGCUGUGCAUCUCCAUUCUUCACUAUCAGCAGCAGCAGCUGGAUUGAAUCCAAUGACUGCACAUGAAAUUCUCCCCAACCCUCAAGUGCAAAUGCCAUUCCUUUCCUCACAGCCAAUACCUGCAGAUGUAGCCACAUCAAGUACACCGCCAACAUUUGCAACUGGGUUCUCUGCCACAUACGAUAGUCCUGACGAAGGAGAGUAUAGUCCUCGAAUGCACCGAAGGAACACCAUCUGAUUAUCAUCUACCAGUAAACAUGUCAAGUUAAUUCCAACCUGUACUCCUUUUUCUUAAUGCUUUUGGAAUCCACUACGAUCAUACCUUUUGUUCCCUGACCGAUUAUUUUCUCCAAUUAUCUUUUGCCGAAGUUGAUUGCUAUACAAUUCUUUGCCAUAUUAAUUAUCAGUUCUCAGAA